UCCCUGGUGGCUCAGUCAGUAAAGAAUCUGCCUGCAAUGCAGGAGACCCAGGUUCGAUUCCUGAGUCAGGAA
rnacentral:tRNA from 1 species